AUUGAACGCUGGCGGCAGGCCUAACACAUGCAAGUCGAACGAGUGGCGGAGGGGUGAGUAAUGUCUGGUAAACUGCCUGAUGGCGGGGGAUAACUACUGGAAACGGUAGCUAAUACCGCAUACCAUCGGAUGUGCCCAGAUGGGAUUAGCUAGUCGGUGGGGUCACGGCUCACCUUGGCGACGCACCCUAGCUGGUCUGAGAGGAUGACCAGCUACCCGGUAACUGAGACACGGUCCAGACUCCUACGGGAGGCAGCAGUGGGGAAUAUUGCACAAUGGGCGAAAGGCUGAUGCAGCCAUGCCGCGUGUAUGAAGAAGGCCUUCGGGUUGUAAAGUACUUGCAGCGGUGAGGCGUUACCCGCAGAAGAAGCACCGGCUAACUCCGUGCCAGCAGCCGCGGUAAUAC
rnacentral:rRNA from 1 species